rnacentral:rRNA from 1 species
UACAGAGGUCUCAAGCGUUGUUCGGAUUCAUUGGGCGUAAAGGGUGCGUAGGCGGCGCGGUAAGUCGGGUGUGAAAUCUCGGGGCUUAACCCCCCGAAACUGCAUUCGAUACUGCCGUGCUUGAGGACUGGAGAGGAGACUGGAAUUUACGGUGUAGCGGUGAAAUGCGUAGAUAUCGUAAGGAAGACCAGUGGCGAAGGCGGGUCUCUGGACAGUUCCUGACGCUGAGGCACGAAGGCCAGGGGAGCAAACGGG